GACGAAGAACGUAGCGAAAUGCGAUACUUGGUGUGAAUUGCAGAAUCCCGUGAACCAUCGAGUCUUUGAACGCAAGUUGCGCCCGAAGCCAUUAGGCCGAGGGCACGCCUGCCUGGGCGUCACACGUCGUUGCCCCCCCAUCUACUCCUUCGGGAUUGCGAGGGGCGGAUGAUGGCCUCCCGUGCGCCUCGUCGCGCGGUUGGCAUAAAUGCCAAGUCCUCGGCGACGCACGCCACGACAAUCGGUGGUUGCGAAACCUCGGUUGCCCGUCGUGUGCGGUCGUCGCGCAUCGAGGGCUCGAAAAAAUUGCCGGGCUCCGGCUCGGCUUUCAACGCGACCCCAGGUCAGGCGGGGUUACCCGCUGAAUUUAAGCAUAUCAAUAAGCGGAGGA
rnacentral:misc_RNA from 1 species